GCCAGCCGGCGAGCCGCGGGACGAAUAGCCAGUGGCGCCGCCGAUGCCACCGGACGAGACCGUGGUGGCAACUGUCCUAGUUCCCGCGGUCCGCAUUCCCACGCGCCGCUAUCUGGAGAAGGCGGCCUCGGCGCCGCGGCCGCAGGCGACCGGCGCCUUGAGCUCGUCAGCCCUUGACACCGAGGCGACCAGUGCCGUGCCCGCAGGCUGGGUACGCGGGGUAGAACUGGCGCCCUAAACGAGGCGUCCCUUGACGUCCAGGCCAAGCUCCGGGUGGAGGCAGUGGCACUCAAGCGCUGCAACGAGGCCUACUUGGAGUCGUGCACCGCCAACCGAGAUUAUCAUAACCUCUGCGCGACCGCCUACAACUCCAAGGUUCGGGAGCUGGAGGCGCAGACGGCCCAUCUCGCUGAAAGCCGGCAGGCUAAUGCCGACGUGCAGCAGCAGUUGGGCGAAGCCAAGACCGCCCUUCGUGGCAAGGAGGCGGAGUGCAGCAAGCUGUCGGAGGAGCGGGACCGCCUGGCCGCCCAACUUGCCUAACAGGCGGAAAACCUCAAGGCGGCCCAGCUGAAGGUGGAGACGGCAGAGACCAGCCUCCUUGUCGAGUUUGAGCUCGAGGGCUCUGCCUAGGCCGACAAGGAGGCCCAGGUGACGGCAUGCUUCAGCAGCAUUGAGGACUUGGUCGAUGGUAAGCCCUAUUCUCUUAGUUUCUUGUCUUGAGUUAUCAGUCAUUUUUUAUAACCUUGGCCUUUUUCUUCCUCUGCCCGGACAGACUUCUUCCCGGGCCAUUCUGUAGCCGCCACCCAGAUGAUUGAGGCCCAACGCGAGGAGCAAAGGGCAGAGGGUGCGCAGAUCGCCGCUGAUGCCCCCCGGACCCUUGCUGGACAGGUCCUCAGCAUUCAAGCCCGGCUUCGGCCCGCUCACGCUUGCUACGUCGCCUGCAGCGCAUCGGAGCCUAGGCGGUCUCCGCCCGCUGGACAGGCUUGCCGGCCCCACGCACCCUAAGUCGGACUGCCGACUGGCUGGAGGUGGCGGUGGGUCGCCUGGAGGCCUAGAAGGGCUCAGCAGCCCGGGCAGGAGCGCGCCGGGCCUUGGAAUUCGUCAAGGCGUGGUACCCUGGGCUAGAUCUAGCCCAGUUAGCCACGUUUCGACUGGAGGCGCAGGAGAAGCUGGUGGCGGUGGAAGCUGAGCUUGUCAGCAGGGCAGCGGCGAUCGCCGAGUUCACCGACAACAGCGUCUUCGUCCCGGAGGUGGUCGAGGAAGGCGGUGAAGCUCCGCAUGAAUGGCUUGGGCUAAACCCAGAAGACAGCAAAGACUCCGCCGAAGUCAUCGCCUCCAGCGACGAGGGGGAGGAC